UCUUAUGUACAUGCCUACAAUGUUAAUUCACUGGAUCUCAUCAAAACUACGUAGUUAAGCUCCCUUGGGAUAGAGUGGUACUGGCAUGGGUGACUUCCUGAGAAGUCCUAGUGUUUUACAUGCC
rnacentral:rRNA from 1 species